rnacentral:rRNA from 1 species
GACGAACGCUGGCGGCAUGCCUAACACAUGCAAGUCGAACGAAGGGGCUCGGCUCAUAGUGGCGCACGGGUGCGUAACGCGGGGGAAUCUGCCCUUGGGAUCGGACCAACAGUUUGGAACGACUGCUAAUACCGGAGGAUGUCGAUAGGACCAAAGAUUUAUCGCCCGGGGAUGAGGGCGCGUCGGCUGAGUUUGUGGGUGGGGUAAAGGCAUACCAAGGCGACGAUCCGUAGCUGGUCUGGGAGGAUGAUCAGCCACACUGGGCCUGAGACACGGCCCAGAAUGCUAGGGAACGCAGGAGUGGGGAGUAUUGGACAAGGGAGGCAAACCUGAUCCCGCAAUGCGGGGUAAGUGAUGAAGGCGUUAGGGUUGUAAAGCCCUUUUACACGGGAAGAUAAUGACUGUACCGGGAGAAGAAGCCCCGGCUAACUCCGUG